UACGUAGGUGGCGAGCGUUGUCCGGAAUUACUGGGUGUAAAGGGAGCGUAGGCGGGAGAGCAAGUCGACUGUGAAAUCUAUGGGCUUAACCCAUAGCUGCGAUCGAAACUGUUCAUCUUGAGUGAAGUAGAGGCAGGCGGAAUUCCUAGUGUAGCGGUGAAAUGCGUAAAUAUUAGGAGGAACACCAGUGGCGAAGGCGGCCUGCUGGGCUUUAACUGACGCUGAAGCACGAAGGCGUGGGUAUCGAACAGG
rnacentral:rRNA from 1 species